ACCUUCGUGGUGGAGUGGUCAGUACGCUCGACGCGUAACCGAGAGGUCCGUGGUUCGAUUCCCGGCGAAGGCA
rfam:Stegodyphus mimosarum contig105245, whole genome shotgun sequence.